rnacentral:rRNA from 1 species
UGCCUACAACAUAGAGUUAAUGCACCGGAUCCCAUUAGAACUCUGUAGUUAAGCAUGCUCAGGCUAUAAUAGUAUUGGGAUGGGUGACCGCCCGAGAAGUCCUAGUGUUUUAGAUGC